CUCAAAUGAAUUGACGGGGACCGCACAAGCAGCGGAGCGUGUGGUUUAAUUCGUUGCUACACGAAGAACCUUACCUGGGUUUGACAUAUAAGUUGUAGGGAACUGAAAAGGGACCGACCUUCGGGGAGCUUAUACAGGUGUUGCAUGGCUGUCGUCAGCUCGUGUCGUGAGAUGUUCGGUUAAGUCCGCUAACGAGCGCAACCCUCGCCGUAUGUUACAAGUGUCAUACGGGACUGCCGGUAAAAGCCGGAGGAAGGUGAGGAUGAUGUCAAGUCAGCAUGACCUUUAUAUCCAGGGCUACACACACGCUACAAUGGUCUGUACAAUUGGUUGCCAAGCCGCGAGGCGGAGCCAAUCCGUAAAGCAGGCCUCAGUUCAGAUUGCAGUCUGCAACUCGACUGCAUGAAGCCGGAGUUGCUAGUAACCGCAGGUCAGCAAUACUGCGGUGAAUACGUUCCCGGGUCUU
rnacentral:rRNA from 1 species